AGAGUUUGAUCAUGGCUCAGGAUAAACGCUGGCGGCGCACAUAAGACAUGCAAGUCGAACGAACUUAACCAUUAGUUUACUAUUGGAGCGGUUAGUGGCGGACUGGUGAGUAACACGUAAGCAACCUGCCUAUCAGAGGGGGAACAACAGUUAGAAAUGACUGCUAAUACCGCAUAUGCCUUAGAAUCGACAUGGUUCAAAAGGGAAAGGAGCAAUCCACUGAUAGAUGGGGCUUGCGU
rnacentral:rRNA from 1 species